CCGUGGACGUCCUGGGGUGGACACGUGCUCUCCUUGCUCCCGAGCGAGCCCCGGACAGAAGGGCUGGACUUUGUCUUUCUGAUCCCUGAGCAAAGCAGGGCUCCUCCCUGAGCCACCUCCCUGCCCUGACCUUGUUUUAAUCCCGGAGAGAAGCCUUGGCCUCAGCAUCUUUAGGAGGGACCCAGGAGGUGGGGUGUGGGCAUCAGCCAGGCCGGGAUGCCAGGCCAGGACGCGGGGAGGGUCCCGUGGAGAGCCAGACCCCCCUCUGGUGCAGCCUGAGGAAACGCCGCCCGCCCGUGUGUUGAAAGAAGAGGAUGCACACCGGAGAAGUCCCAGGGUGACGGGAACCAGCCACCCUUCCACCUGUCACCUUCGUGGGGCCAGCGGAGGUACUCCUGCCUUCCCAGGCCCCCCUUAGCCCCCUGACAGUGGCAGAUGUGGGCCGUCCAAUCCCACAACCCUGUGCGGCCCGGGAUGCCACUUCAAAGCACUCAGAAACACUGAUGUCUUUCUGACGGCGACGGUUCUCAUUGGCUUGAGGACCUCUCCUGUGCCAGGAACUCAAAAGGCUCUAGCACCCUGACACUGACAGCAGCCCCGGGGCAGCCUCCCCUUUGAGGCCUCGCCAUCUUCUUAGACUCCGGCAGCCAAGCCUGAGCCAGGGACGAGACUAGGCGGUUUCUUUGGGAACAGGAAGAAACACAGGCAGUUGAGCAGAGAAGUUGGGGAGUGGUGGGUGUCAAUCAAAGCGACUGGGGAGGCUGAGGCAGGAGGACUGCAAGUUCAAGGCCAGCCUCCGCAACUUAGCGAGGUCCUAAGCAACUUGGCAAGACCCUGUCUCUAAAUAAAAAGUAGAAAGGGC